rnacentral:rRNA from 1 species
AUUGAACGCUGGCGGCGUGCUUAACACAUGCAAGUCGAACGGAGUGGCGAACGGGUGAGUAACACGUGGGUGAUCUGCCUUGCACUUCGGGGUAAGCUUGGGAAACUGGGUCUAAUACCGGAUAUUGCAAGAUGAGCUCGCGGCCUAUCAGCUUGUUGGUGGGGUAAUGGCCUACCACGGCGGCGACGGGUAGCCGGCCUGAGAGGGUGUACGGGCACAAUGGGACUGAGAGACGGCCCAGACUCCUACGGGAGGCAGCAGGGGGGAAUAUUGCACAAUGGGCGGAAGUCUGAGGCAGCGACGCCGCGUGGGGGAUGAAGGCCUUCGGGUUGGAAACUCCUUUCGACAGGGACGCGGUACCUGUAUAAGAAGCACCGGCUAACUACGUGCCAGCAGCCGCGGUAAUUC